UUACGGUCACACCACGUUGAAUCACCGAUUCCCGUACGAUUACCGAAGUUAAGCAACGUGAAGCCUGGUCAGUACGUAGAUUGUUGAGAGCUUGGGAAUAACAAGCAAUG